rnacentral:lncRNA from 1 species
GUCACAUCAAUCUAGGAUUAGCCCCAUCAAGAAUCAUGUGUUAUUUAUUGAUAUGUUUAGUUAAGAAGAAGAGGUCAUAAAAAAGUCAGUACUUGCCUAACACAAAUGGAGGGCAAGACUUUUAUGAUGCAAUAAACUCUCAUUCCCCAGCACAACAGAUCAGGUUGCAUGAAGGCUAACAGAUCCUUGCAGGGAUCAAAUUUGUACUGUUGAACAUUUUGAAUAAAAUGACCAUUGUGGAAACCUUUCUGCACAGUCUAAUGAGAAUUUGAGAUCUUUGAGACAGGAGGCAGCUACAAUCGCUCCCCAGAAAAACUCUCUGGAAAAACAAACAACAGACUGCUUGAUCAGAAAAAGACCAACAACCCCAUAGGAGAUGGGCAUAGAGCUAGAUAAA